rnacentral:rRNA from 1 species
UAUCACGGGGUAGCAAUAUUCCGUGGUGAGAGUGGCGCAAGGGUGCGUAACACGUGGGCAAUUUGCCGUGAAGCUUGGGAUAACUCGCUGAAAGGCGAGCUAAUACCGGAUGUGAUUUCUGGGGGGCAUCCUCUGGAACUUAAAGCUGGGGACCGUAAGGCCUGGCACUUCACGAUAAGCCCGCGGCCUAUCAGCUAGUUGGUGAGGUAACGGCUCACCAAGGCUAAGACGGGUAGCUGGUCUGAGAGGACGACCAGCCACACUGGAACUGAGACACGGUCCAGACACCUACGGGUGGCAGCAGUCGAGAAUUUUUCACAAUGGGCGAAAGCCUGAUGGAGCGACGCCGCGUGGGGGAUGAAUGGCUUCGGCCCGUAAACCCCUGUCAUUUGCGAACAAACCUCGUUAUUUAAAAGAUGACGAGUUGAUAGUAGCGAAAGAGGAAGGGACGGCUAACUCUGUGCCAGCAGCCGCGGUAAUACAGAGGUCCCGAGCGUUGUUCGGAUUCACUGGGCGUAAAGGGUGCGUAGGUGGUCGGGUAAGUCUGAUGUGAAAUCUCCAAGCUCAACUUGGAAAUGGCAUCGGAUACUAUUCGGCUUGAGGGUUGGAGGGGAGACUGGAAUUCUCGGUGUAGCAGUGAAAUGCGUAGAUAUCGAGAGGAACACCAGCGGCGAAGGCGAGUCUCUAGACAACUCCUGACACUGAGGCACGAAAGCCAGGGGAGCAAACGGGAUUAGAUACCCCGGUAGUCCUGGCCCUAAACGGUGCACGUUUGCUGUAAGAGGAAUCGACCCCUUUUGUGGCGAAGCUAACGCGUUAAACGUGCCGCCUGGGAAGUACGGGCCGCAAGGUUA